CUUAUGAAUUUAUUUAACCAGUUAAAUGCAAACGUACAAUUCAUAUAGUUGAACUAAACCCAACAAUCAAAUGGAAACCACAAUAAAACCGAUUGAAAAAUCAAAAACUGCACAAAAAUCAUGAUUUGGACUGAAUCAAACCAACUCAUUCCCUAAAAAUCUAAACCAAAAGUCUCUAGAAACCUCUCCCUCUCUCUCUCUUUCAGCGUCGUCUUAGCCCUCCUCCUUUGUUCUUCCUUCGUUUUUCCCAUCACCUGAGACCAGCGCCUCGGCCACCGCCUCCUCGCCGUCGUCUCCUCGUUGCAGCAGCUCUGGCCUCUCUUCCCCUCUCUCUCUCUCUCUCUCUCUCUCUCUCUCUCUCCCCCCUUUCGUCUCUGGCGAACGCAACUAUUGCAGGGAACCCGCGACUUCGUUUGAUCGGGAAAUCGUGUCGCAUCAUCCGACGACUCCAUAGCAAGAUCGGUCUACUCCAGCUUCUUUUCAGUCGAUGGCGUAGCUCAGACCUCUUCCUCCUGUCGUUUCCGGCCAGCGCAGCUAACACAAGAAGCUGCAGUUGGUUUUCGAUCGGACAGGAUCACCAUCAGUCCUCCUUCUCAUUUUUCCGGCAAGACCUACUACCGGCCGGCCAAGCCAGCUCCUCUCUUGUUGUCAAUGCCUUACCAGCGUACUUUCGGCCACCGUUCUCAUAAGGUCCGGUCAAGCUAUCGCCGUUAGCGUUUGAUGAUGAAGAUGAAGAUGCAGACAAGUUGGAAACUGUAAGGUACUAAUUUCAUUAAAUUUGCUUUCUUGUGAUUUUGCGCAUUACCCUAGAAUAUCAGUUCCAAUAUUACAUUGGAGGUACAAGAUGCUACAAAACCGAGAUGUUUUCCAUUUCUCUUGUAUCAUCGCGAUUACGAUGCCUAAGGCCUAUGAUUUUCGCAUGUGGGAGCCAAUUCCAAAUCCGGUCUGGCUGGCAUAUCUCUGUAUUGCCAUCUCAACAUUGUUACAUAUCAAUCGUAAUAUGAUAAUGAGUUCGAUGAAGACUCAGGCUCAGAUGAUGAACAAUCAGAUUGGGGCUUUGUGUAGAGCAGGACAAAGUGAUCUUGAUCUCCAUUGCAUCAAGUAUAAAUUGCUCUAUUAAUAUAAUAAAAGAAAUAUGUGAACAACUUUCUGAGCUUUGAUUGAAGCAUAUUUCUAUUGA